AUAUUGCACAAUGGAGGAAACUCUGAUGCAGCGACGCCGCGUGAACGAUGAAGGCUUUCGGGUCGUAAAGUUCUGUCCUAGGGGACGAUAAUGACGGUACCCUAGGAGGAAGCCCCGGCUAACUACGUGCCAGCAGCCGCGGUAAUACGUAGGGGGCAAGCGUUGUCCGGAAUUAUUGGGCGUAAAGGGUUCGCAGGCGGUCUUUUAAGUCAGAUGUGAAAGAUCACGGCUCAACCGUGGUAAGCAUUUGAAACUGGGGGACUUGAGUUAUGGAGAGGAAAGUGGAAUUCCUAGUGUAGCGGUGAAAUGCGUAGAUAUUAGGAGGAAUACCAGUGGCGAAGGCGACUUUCUGGCCUACAACUGACGCUGAGGCGCGAAAGCGUGGGUAGCGAACAG
rnacentral:rRNA from 1 species